CGGGGCGUAGCGCAGCCCGGUAGCGCGCCUGCUUUGGGAGCAGGAUGUCGGAGGUUCAAAUCCUCUCGCCCCGACCA
rnacentral:tRNA from 31 species